AUGGAAUAACCUAGAUAAUCUCUAAGAGAUGUCUUUCUAGCUCUGAGAAAAUGUUUGUAAUUCUUGAUUAAAUUCUUACUGAGCUCCUAAAAAAAAUAAAUAAAUCCCAGCCAUCCCAGGGUUUUUUUAUCAUUUUAUGUAUAUGGAGAAAAAGGAGACAGAAACCUAAGCCUUUUUAUUCUGCAUUUAUUGGAAAGAGCUUUUGAACUACAAGUGCUUGGGGCCCCUGGGCCCUGAAGGAAAGCAGUCCUGGAUCUGAGCCACAAAUGGGAGCUUCCUUCAGCUUCUCCCACCUGCAGGCUUUGGCUCCCAAUUUGCACAAACCCUUCUUUGCUCUCUUCCUAAUUCAUCCUUUGAAGCCCAGGUUAGAUGGCAUGCCUGCGUGGCUCACAGGGCUUUGGAGCUCAAACUCCACCCUGGGUUGGCCUCCUGUGCCCUCCCUCCCUCCCUGCCCACGCUCCCUCUGCUGCUCGCCCUGCUGGCUCCUCGUGGAUCUGCGGGUACAGAGCACUCAGCAGUGUGUGUUCUGUGUGUUCUGGGAGGGAGCAAGCCCAGCUCCAGCUCAUCCAGGAGGCCUGGCACUGGAAAGGAUUCCAGCUCAGCCUACUGGCCAAGGUGCCAGUCACCAGAGAGGAAAGGGAUGGACCUGACUCUGCUCACAAUCCCACUCUAGAGAAACAUGAGCCUGGUAUGGAGCGACAAUUGUGAGGGAUUUAUUUCACAAAGAAAUGAGAGGAGUCCCUGCUUCACAACAGCGUUCCCCUACUCCCACCUUGAGAACUUCUGGAAACCAGUCCCAACCCUCUCCAGGAGAUUGUUGGAGAUUUUUGUCUACAGGGUAAGAUGAACUAACAGACCCUUGAGCUCUGGACCACUGGGCCUCAGGGUCAUAAACCAGAAGCAUCCAGCCUCCUGAAACAACAAUUAAGAAAUAUAAAAAAAAAACAAUGAUUAAUCCCAGCCUCUUUGUUCUUAAAAAACAAACAACAACAACAACAAAAAACUCAGACUCAGAGACCCAGUUGGAGCGGAUCUGAGGCUUGUCUCCCACUUCCUUGCUCGGUGCCCUGCGUGAAUCCUUCCUUUGCUGCAAACUCCCGAUGUGAGUCUGGCUUUCUGCCCUGUGGACACACAGACGCUUUGCUUGGUUAGUGCACUUGUGCUGAAUGUGCAGCUCCAUGGACCUCACAUUUGUACACACUUGAGACAACUCCCAGACAGAUGUAUAACAUUUUCCAGGGCCUGAAAGGCCCCUGUGCUCUCUCUCCGCCAAUACUCACUCCCCACUGAGGGGAUCUUCAAGGGAAGUCAUGGUCUAAUUGAGGUGGGUGGCAGUGAGCUUCCCUGAAGUGAGGGAAGGGUAAGAGGGUUUAGGGGUCUGAGAUAGUAGAUGGAGGUAUGUGCCACCUUGCACAAACCCUGGGAUUGAAAGGUUGUUGUUGAGCCAUGAAAGAUGCCAGGAUUCUUGGCCUCUGGAAGAGAAGAAUUCAAUCUGGGGCCAGUGAUGAGGCUUGAUCACUCAGAGCUUUUGUGUAAUGAAAUUUUAUUAAAGUAUUAAAAAGAUAGAGAAAGCUUGAGACAUGCCAUCAGAAGGGGGCACAAAGAGUGCCCCCCUGCUAAUCUUUAGCAGGAAGUUAUAUACCUACUAGGAAGCUAAUUAGAGAAAGGAAAUGUCUCAGUGUGAGACAUUUGGAUAUGAGAGUUGGGCUAUAAAGAAAG